rnacentral:rRNA from 1 species
GACGAACGCUGGCGGCGUGCUUAACACAUGCAAGUCGAACGAUGAGCCUUCCAUGAUCUAUUCGUAGAGAUUGGAAGCGGAUUAGUGGCGAACGGGUGAGUAACGCGUGAGCAACCUGCCUUAAACAACGGGAUAGCCUCGGGAAACCGGGAUUAAUACCGUAUGAGACCCCGCCUUCCCAUGAAGAAGAGGUUAAAGAUUUAUCGGUUUAAGAUGGGCUCGCGUCUGAUUAGCUAGUUGGUGAGAUAAAAGCCCACCAAGGCAACGAUCAGUAACCGGCUUGAGAGAGUGAACGGUCACAUUGGAACUGAGACACGGUCCAAACUCCUACGGGAGGCAGCAGUGGGGAAUAUUGCACAAUGGGGGAAACCCUGAUGCAGCGACGCCGCGUGAGCGAUGAAGGAAUUCGUUUCGUAAAGCUCUGUCCAAGGGGAAGAUAAUGACAGUACCCUUGGAGGAAGCCCCGGCUAAAUACGUGCCAGCCGCCGCCGUAA